rnacentral:piRNA from 1 species
UGAUGUUCCUUGAGACUUUAA